GAUGAACGCCAGCGGCAGGCUUAAUACAUGCAAGUCGUGGGGCAGCAGGGGCGUAGCAAUACGCUCGCUGGCGACCGGCAAACGGGUGCGGAACACGUACACAACCUUCCUUUAAGUGGGGAAUAGCCCGGGGAAACCCGGAUUAAUACCCCGUAACAUAAUGAAGUGGCAUCGCUUUAUUAUUAUAGCUCCGGCGCUUGAAGAUGGGUGUGCGACUGAUUAGGCAGUUGGCGGGGUAACGGCCCACCAAACCUACGAUCAGUAACUGGUGUGAGAGCACGACCAGUCACACGGGCACUGAGACACGGGCCCGACUCCUACGGGAGGCAGCAGUAAGGAAUAUUGGUCAAUGGACGCAAGUCUGAACCAGCCAUGCCGCGUGGAGGAUGAAGGUCCGCUGGAUUGUAAACUUCUUUUAUCUGGGAAGAAAUCCAUGAAUUCUUUUGUGGUUGACGGUACCAGAUGAAUAAGCACCGGCUAACUCCGUGCCAGCAGCCGCAGUAA
rnacentral:rRNA from 1 species